CCCCCUUCCGUUCUCAGGUUGGUCGACAAUAAUGUGUUCCCAUGGAACGGCGCCAUACACAAUUGUGUUUACAUUUUCCCCCAUUGUUUCCGGGAUGAUUUGUUAGGCUGUUCUAGCUCGCAGCUGAGUGUAGAGAGCAUAAACAUCGCAAGUGGUUUUAGGGAAGCCGCUGUAAUUGAGGGUGUAACUUUUUUUUGUGUGUGAAAACAUUCCGGAUUGUAAUUGUAUGUUGCAUUUGUCGAGGAACAAGCAUGUAAAAGUACAUUGGAAAGAUUCUGAAGUGAUUAGUAUGUAAAAGGACAUUGGAAAGAUUCUGAAGUGAUUUGAUGGGCACCUGCUGAAUUCAUUCUAAUGAUUACUAUAUUCUCGCGAUACCAAAUUGCUAGGGGACUGUUGAUCUCAUCUAAAGUUACCCAGGAGGUCUCAGGAAACCAUUAGCCCCUUACUAGCCCAGUUGGCAUGUUAGGGCAUGUCCAAUGCUGUCCAUCAAAACGGACACCUCGCUGGUCCUGUGAUGCGUCACUCGUUGACGCUACUGGCGCUGCGAUGCAGCACUCUAGACGCUGCAAGCUGGCGUCGCUUCGGCGGCUUUCGGUGAUGCUGCAUGGAUGGCGACGAUGUUGUGUGGACUGCUGCAACUGGAAACCUGGGAUUGGCAGGUGUUGCGAGCGACCGACUCUUCCGAUGGGUGUGCGGCUCUUGAUGUGAAACGGCUGCUGCGAGUCGGGCGGCGAUGCUUUCUGGCGGCAACGCGUGCUGUUGCGUUGCUAUGGCCAGAGGAAAACGGAGCAGGGGUUGUUGGUGCGAUUGAAGGAGGACGACGUGGCAUUGUGAUGACAGAUCGAACGGCUACACAGGAAGGAUCCGACUGCUCGGGAGUCUGCAGAAAUCAGCUAGUUUAGCAGCCACCAUAAUUAAUGGAGCAAUUUCUCUUGAAUGUGUUUGGUUGGGGGUAAUUAGAGCUAGCGAAUGAGAAUUGAAGGAAUGCGAGACUUGAAAUCUAGUAUUGUUUAGUUAGGGAGAUUGGGAAUUUAUAAGAAAAUAGUCAUGAGACUUGAGACUUCAAUUCCCACCGUUUUAUUUACAGAGGAGGGGCAGGAGUUGGAAGGCGUUGCUCCUUCUUCGAGUCAGUCUUUCAGGCUUCGAUCCUCCUCAAGUUCGUUCAGACGGAUUAGACGGAGCUCUAGUAUAGAUUCCUGCCAGCUCUUUGGGACGUCGAGAUUAGGUUUCUCGCCGUGUGUACACAAUGACGAUAUUUCGCGUUAGGUUCUUCAGAUCGAUUUAAGGACUCAGCGACGACGACUGCAACUCCAGGGCGUUGGUCCUUAAGGGCACGUGCACAAAGACUUCCCGGCUACCAUUGACAAGGUCAGACCGGCUCCGGUAUGGGAGCGGCGACAACGGCAUGUCGGCAGCUCAUUCUGGCGGCAGUAAUGGUCGUUGGACCUCGGUAUAAUUUUUAUUACGUUUGAGGUGCUUGGUACUUCUGGUGAACCUUUAUUAUAGAUCUGAUCCUUUUGACAAAAGAAAAAGAGAAACAAGGAAAUACAAUUUCUUUUCAAAUUCUUACACAUACUUUUUAUCAUGUGCCAAACAGAUAAUUGAGAAUAAAACGAACCAUCUCAUGUCUCAUCUUUUUUUGGGAGGGAAAUCUCAUGUCUAAUCUUGAUACAACUUCCUGCUCUAAACUCCUAUUCCCUUUUGCAAAUAUUGCCAAACACGCUAUGAAAAAUAAAAAAACGCGAGGAGGCCUCAUCGUCAGAUCUGAUUCAGCAGCUGCCUUCCCUUCACUUCAGUCGUGAAGCAAACCAUACUCCAAAAGAAUGGCGGGGGACGGCGAGCUUCUUCCCCGGAUCGCGGUGGUCGGCGCGGGCAUCUUCGCGCGCACGCAGUACAUCCCCAGGCUCCGCGAGAUCUCCCACCUCGUCGUCCUCAAGGCCAUCUGGAGCCGCACCCAGGUCAGGUGUCCCCGCCUCCCCUGUCCCCUCUCACUCCUUUCCCGUGCCGUGACUCUAAAGCUUAGCCGCUUCUGCUCGUCGUGUGUAAUCUGACUGUCGCGGCGCUAUCCUCCAGGAAUCCGCAGAGGCUGCCGCGGAGCUCGCCCGCGAUUUUGCGCCUGGCAUCGAGUGUAAAUGGGGCGACGCGGGGCUGGAGGAGAUCAUGGGAGACCCUUCCAUCCUCGGCGUUGCCGUUGUUCUUGCAGGCCAAGUCCAGGUAUCUGUGGGUCAUUGAGAAUUCCUCUCAUUUCCGAGUUGAUGCUCUGAGAAUUUGACUUCACUGUUUACUCGUAUAAAGAGCUGUUGGUACAAUGCCGGACUGCAAAAGUAGUCCAAAACCUAGCCAAGUGUUUCACUCGCUGCUGUCCAAAUGUGCAGGUUGAGCUUUCCUUGAAGAUGCUCAAGGCAGGGAAGCAUGUGAUUCAAGGUAACUGGGAAAAGGAAAGCAUAUGAAACUGAUCUUAACGGUCUGAUUUGAGCUAUAUGACUGGUAGCGACAGUAAAAAAAAAAAUUCUCUCUUGUUAUUAUCUGAUCACCUAAUAAAAUAUCCUAAUUGGUUUCUCGCGGUUUGCAUGGUGUAUUUCCUGAUGCUCUGAAGAGAAACCUGCCUCUGGAUGUAAGUACACGUAGCUUUUCAGCGCUUCUUUCAUGAGCACCAUAAUGGAUACGACGAAUACGUAUGUGAUCAGCUUUGUCCAAAAACUUCAGCGUCAACUGAAGCAGAAACUGCACUAUCAGUGUACAACUCAUUUCCAAACAAGCUCCCCUGUAAACCAAUUUGGGCUGUUGGAGAGAACUACAGAUUUGAACCUGCAUUUGUGGAGGUAAACAUUUGCAACCGUAAUUUUUUAUUGUUAGUAUACUUCUGUAAUCUCUGGACUUCUAUCAACAGUCAAGCAAGUUGAUGGACGAUAUUGGUGAUAUGAUGAACAUCCAAGUUAUUGUUGAAGGAUCAAUGAACAGUUCAAACCCAUAUUUCAAUAGCUCCUGGAGACGAAAUUUUGUGGUAAGGAAUCAAGUCGCCACAGCGUCCUUUUUCUUUCAGUGCAACGUGCUUUAUCCGCAGUUCUCCUUACCAUACAUAUAACCCCACUUUCCAAGCUAAACAUUUCAGCUUACCUAACACAUAUGAGUAAUGUAUACUUGAUUGGUUUGUGCUUAGCUGCACGUUCACUAAACAUAAGGCACUUAUAUGUUGUGUCAAAGGAUGAUUUCGUAUGCACAUCUUGACAACCAAUACUUUUAUACCAUAGCAAAGUCAAUGUAAUGUUUGAAUAAAUUGCAUGUUUUUUCUUUUGACCAGUGUCAUUUCAACUAGCUAAUCAAAAUGUCAUAUAACUCUGUUUGCUUAUCUACGCAAGUUUGUCUAAUUUUUGUGCGUACAUACUCGAAAUCCAUGGAGGUGCUGGUGGCACAUAUUUGGCCUCACUAAUUCUCUAGUUACGUCAAUUUUUUGGGUUCUAAUCUAGUGGGAUAUUUCUGUUGGCAUUGAAGUGGAACUUCAUACAAUUCUGCAAUAGCUAGGUCAUUCAGCUUCUUCGGCUGUGAAGUAUUCAAAUGCUUGCAGUCAUUCUUUGCAUCAACUACAUUUCUGUGGUUUUUCUCUCUUGAGUUCUGCAAAGAAAGAAUCACCACAUACUAUUUACUUUUUUUGACAUGACAAGUAUUUUAUCCUAAUGAGUCCAUAUGUCUAUCCUCGGUCCUUACUAUGAUAACAAUAAUUUGCAGGGUGGUUUCAUACUGGAUAUGGGCGUGCAUUUCAUUGCAGGACUAAGAAUGGUAUUUCCCAUCUUGUUUUUUUGCGAAAGUGUUGACCAGCUUCUGGCUUUUGUAAAUAUAAGUCAUGUGAGUAGUCAUCAUAAUCCAUUUGAAGGAUUUGAUACUCAGUACGCAGACAUAAGAAAUAUUAUCCAUUAUAUGGAUUUGAUGCUCACUACACAGACAUGGUCGUUAAAAUACACAUCACAAGUACACAACUGGUACUAUGAACAUAUUGAAGUAAUUAAGUUUGAUUUUCCAGUUGCCCACUUAUGCACAGCAUAAUGCAAGUGAAUUGACAAGGCUUAUGCGUGCCAAUUAAUAUGCUAUUUAAGAUUAUUACGAAGGUUAUUAUUUUUUUACUUCUCCUUACUCUGUUAACAUAUGAACUCAUUUGUAACAGCUUGUUGGUUCAGAAGUAGCAACUGUAUCGUCUAUCUCUCGUCAUGUGGACACGGAUUUACCACCACCUGAUAACAUUUGUUCUCUUUUGUAAGUUAUGAAAGAUACAAAGUGAAUUUUGUAAAUGUUACAUUUUUAGAUCUUACAGACCCUUGAUGUGUUGGUGCAGCCAACUGGAAAAUGGAUGUGCUGGGGUCUUAGUAUUUGCAGUUAAAUCGAGGUCGCCAAAGGUUAAGAUUUAUUUUGUUGCAAAAGAUGUGUGGCACAUAUAUAUUCUUUAGGCAUAUUAGGUUAUGUAUCAUUCACCACAUUCUUUCUUUUCUUCCAUUUUUUGCUGAUAUUGCUAGACAUAUGAUAUUUAGAUAUUGUGGCGGGUUGAUGGAACAAAGGGAACAGUACAAAUUGAACGUGGAGUUGAUGGUGGGAAGCAUGGUUACCAGGUAAAACCACUUUUUCUGCAAGUGCCAAAUGAACUUUCAGCCUGCUUCUCACUGUUUAUCCGGCCUGCCAGUCACACACUAUCCACCCCAUUGGCUUCCCCCACUUGUUAUUUGUUCCACGAGUUUGGUAUUAUUUUAUUCAUUACAUCAUGAUCACAGUGCAUUGCUACAAAUAAUAGUUACUCGGACAAAGGUGUGGAGUCUAUCUCUGAUUUGGAAAAAGGACUUUGGAUUUGAAAAUACUACUCGGAUAUGCACACUUGUGUUGGAAACUGUCUUGGAUUCGGGCGUCCGAUUCUUUUUAUGUCGGACAUGGGUCUCCGCAUAACACUGAAGUCAUGUUCAGGCCGCAGGAUGUUACUGAGGCAGUGUAUCUUUUUCUUGAGAAUACACAAAAGAUUUAUGCAUCAUUACAUUUAAGGAAGAUAAUAUAGUUUGACUGUUACAACACUAAGUUGUGGACUUGGCUAGCCAAAAAACCAAGAAUCCUAUCUCAGUCAUUUACCAGCACAGUAGCUUCAGCAAUACAUGGACGCAACCUUGGAUCCUAGAGACUUAGCCGAUUAGCGCGCGCAAAUGGUCCUCUUCUGCUUUUCCCCAGACCGUGCGUCCUCCUGCACUGCAGCGACAUCUGGUAUCUUGUUCGGAAGGAUGCAGGCUUUCCUUGUCCUCCAACUGCCCACAUGAUUGAAACAGUGUAAAUCAACAUUAUACUUAUGAACUAUGUCAUGCAUUCACAGGUGCUUUUCUCAAACGAAAGUGGGGAGUGCCAGAAGACUUUUUACCCAUUCUGUGGUGUGCAUGAAGAACUGAAAGCAUUUGUCCAUGAUAUGGUGCAGGCUAGCAAAGUAUGUUGUUAGUAUUGAUCAAUCUCUAUUUUUCUUUUCUCGCACAGAUCGUGGGUUCUGAUGAUGUCAGAAUUUACCAUAAACCAAAGAACAUUUGCCUAUAUUCCACAGAAUGCUUAAAAGUAUCCCAGGAUUUCAUCAUACUCUCUCUAAGUUCCAACUCAUGCAGGAUGGGGAUCACAAGGCUGAACCCCGCAGUUCUUAUGUCGAAGGUGCUCGUGAUGUUGCUGUUUUGGAAGCCAUGCUUGAAUCUAGUGCGAAGCAAGGAGCCAUGGUGCAAGUGAAGAAAUUCUAACAAAUCUCAAUUAGCAAAUGAAGGAACAUGAACAUUCUUCUGCUAGAAUGAUCGGUCUGGUAGGACGUGAAAAUUUGUAGCAUCGGCGACAAAAGGAACAUCAUUUUAUGAUUAUUAUGCAAUUGAUGCUAUAGGAUAGGAUGCUGCAAGUCGGGCUGUUCCCUGGAACCAUCAUUCUUUCACACAGAUCUAUAUGACAGCUGCUACAGAUUUAUUUACCAUAUACUGUACUAUCUAUCACGUAUACUCUUGCUACUGAUCUUGUAUACUAUUUCUUGCAUUUUAUGUUGGGGAAAAAUGUACUCUUGCUUGUUGUUUUCCAUUUCAGCUGCAUAUACAGGUGGCUGACACCCUCAACUUGCGAAAGUGGGUCAAUAUGACAGUUUGGAGAGUUGUUUUUCUGAUGUGGCAUGCGAUGUGGGUGGCACAUAAUUAUUGGAUUUCUUAUAUAAUUUCACACUGAGCUUAGAAAAACACUGAACAAGAUUCUGAAAAUUUAUUUUUUUUCAUGAAAAACUUAGGAUAUUUAGAACUGAUAUAACAUUUACUUUCAGGAGUAGGAUAUUAGGGUGCAUGUUGUUGGGAUUUUGGAAAACCAGACCAGAAAAAAGCCAGACUCUAUUUUUCUUCUGAAGUUUGAUUUUUAUUUUUGCGGGUAAAAGUUUGAUUUUUCUUCUUCCAGCUUUUCUAAUUUCCACAAAAUCUAAUAUUGUUUUGAGUAUUUAAAAAUUUAUUGUUUUGAAUAUUUUUUACUGCGCUAUUGUUUUGAUUACUAUUAUUAUUGGUUUACAUAUAAUCAUCUAGCAAAUGCCACGUUGCCAAAACCGUACGCGUGUCACUGUGUCAUGCCAACAAAACCACUCUCAAAACGUUGUUAUAGCAUUUGCAUUCUUUCUCGCUAGACAAAUGUUGUUAUAGCACUUGCAUUCUUUGUCGCUAGAGGUGAGACAAAUCGACUAGCAUCAAUGGUACGUACGUGAUAUGGCAGUAGACAGUUUGGUGCUCAAUGCUCCGUGAUAUGAGUGCGAAGGGAUGGGCUCUUUGGAGCCAACCCCCCCCCCCGUUCCUUUUGAAUUUCUUUUGAAAACGAUAUUUAAAAGUUUCAAACAAAUGCAGUUGUUUUCCAUGAAAACAAGUACAUGUUCACUAUGAAUCUGUAAAUUUUCGUUGAAAAUAUAGUGAUUUGUAAGCUAGAAAAAUAAUCUCGGGCCAUUAAAAAAAGACCCAUUUUGAUGUACGUGUUUGUUUUUCUUGUAUGCCGCGUAUGAGAUAUAUUGUUAAAAUAUUCGUAUGUAUGUACUCUACAUGCAUAUGUGUAUGCAUUUUUUCAAUUUUCUUGAGAUGCAUACAUAUGGUAUUUAAGAAAAAGGCUCAAGGAGCCCGUCCUCCAUAUGCUCUUUUCCAGAGAGAUGACAUAUUAACCAACAAAUCCUAUAUGCCGCUCGCUGCUUCACACAGGCGACCAAGCAAGCAAACUCGAGAUGGGGCGGGCCAUUAGGUAGCUACAGUACAGCAUAAAUUUUGGUUCUGAGAACUUUCUGGAAGGUUCCUAUCUGGUUCUAGUAACUUCCAAAAAAGGUAUCAACCCGGUUUCCUUUUUAUGUUUUUUAGAUUUUUAUUUUCAAAAUGUUUGAAUUUUUUUAAAAAAAUGUUGGGAAAUUUCAUUUUUUCAGAAAUUAGGGAAUGUUCAGAAAAUUAAAAAAUGAUCUGAAAUAUCAUUUGUUCAGAACUUAGAAAAUGUUCAGAAAUUAAAAUUUUGUUUGUAAAUUUUAGAAAUUAUUCUAUUUUUCAAAAAAUGUUUGUGCUUUAAUAUACAAAUCAACCGAAGAAAAACUAAAAAAAAA
rnacentral:lncRNA from 1 species